UACGUAGGGUGCGAGCGUUAAUCGGAAUUACUGGCGUAAAGCGUGCGCAGGCGGUUUUGCAAGCCGGAUGUGAAAUCCCCGGGCUCAACCUGGGGAAUGCAUUCGGGACUGCAAGGCUGGAGUGCGGCAGAGGAGACUGGAAUUCCUGGUGUAGCAGUGAAAUGCGUAGAUAUCAGGAGGAAUACCGAGUGGCGAAGGCAGGUCUCUGGGCUGACACUGACGCUCAUGCACGAAAGCGUGGGGAGCAAACAGG
rnacentral:rRNA from 1 species